GAACGCUGGCGGCGUGACCUAAUACAUGACAAGUCGACGAAGGUACUUCGGUACUUAGUGGCGAACGGGUGAGUAACACAUAAACAAUCUACCCUGAAGACUGGGAUAACGGUUGGAAACGACCGCUAAUACCGGAUAGGUGAUCUUAAGGCAUCUUGAGAUCAUUAAAGUUGGGCUACAACACUGCAGGAUGAGUUUAUGUCGCAUUAGCUAGUUGGCGGGGCAACGGCCCACCAAGGCGAUGAUGCGUAGCCGGUCUGAGAGGAUGAACGGCCACAUUGGGACUGAGACACGGCCCAGACUCCUACGGGAGGCAGCAGUAGGGAAUUUUCGGCAAUGGGGGAAACCCUGACCGAGCAACGCCGCGUGAACGAUGAAGGUCUUUGGAAUUGUAAAGUUCUGUUACGAGGGAAGAAUGGCAUAUGUAGGGAAUGACAUAAGCAGAGACGGUACCUCGCCAGAAAGCCACGGCUAACUAUGUGCCAGCCGCUGC
rnacentral:rRNA from 1 species